UACGAAGGGUGCAAACGUUGCUCGGAAUCAUUGGGCGUAAAGCGCACGUAGGCGGCCUUGCAAGUCGGAUGUGAAAGCCCACGGCUCAACCGUGGAAGUGCAUCCGAAACUGCAUGGCUCGAGUCUCGGAGAGGAAGGUGGAAUGCUUGGUGUAGAGGUGAAAUUCGUAGAUAUCAAGCAGAACACCUGCGGCGAAGGCGGCCUUCUGGACGAUGACUGACGCUGAGACGCGAAAGCGUGGGGAGCAAACAGG
rnacentral:rRNA from 1 species